UCCCUGGUGGUUCAGACGGUAAAGCGUCUGCCUACAAUGCAGGAGACCCGGGUUCGAUCCCUGGGUUGGGAA
rnacentral:tRNA from 1 species